rnacentral:rRNA from 1 species
GAGUUUGAUCCUGGCUCAGGAUGAACGCNGGCGGCGUGCCUAAUACAUGCAAGUCGAGCGAAUGGAUUAAGAGCUUGCUCUUAUGAAGUUAGCGGCGGACGGGUGAGUAACACGUGGGUAACCUGCCCAUAAGACUGGGAUAACUCCGGGAAACCGGGGCUAAUACCGGAUAACAUUUUGAACCGCAUGGUUCGAAAUUGAAAGGCGGCUUCGGCUGUCACUUAUGGAUGGACCCGCGUCGCAUUAGCUAGUUGGUGAGGUAACGGCUCACCAAGGCAACGAUGCGUAGCCGACCUGAGAGGGUGAUCGGCCACACUGGGACUGAGACACGGCCCAGACUCCUACGGGAGGCAGCAGUAGGGAAUCUUCCGCAAUGGACGAAAGUCUGACGGAGCAACGCCGCGUGAGUGAUGAAGGCUUUCGGGUCGUAAAACUCUGUUGUUAGGGAAGAACAAGUGCUAGUUGAAUAAGCUGGCACCUUGACGGUACCUAACCAGAAAGCCACGGCUAACUACGUGCCAGCAGCCGCGGUAAUACAA